rnacentral:rRNA from 1 species
AACCCCCAACAGCUAGCCCACCCAAAACAUACAACAACCAACAUUAAUAACCCAACACACACUAAAAUCAAAAAACAAACCAUUUUUCCCCCUAAGUAUAGGAGACAGAAAAGGACACACGGAGCAAUAGAAAAAGUACCGCAAGGGAAAGCUGAAAGAGAACUGAAACAACCCAGUAAAGGAUACGAAAGCAGAGAUUCAACCUCGUACCUUUUGCAUCAUGAUUUAGCAAGCACCUCCAAGCAAAGCGCCCUUUAUGUUUGAAACCCCGAAACUAAGCGAGCUACUCCAAGACAGCCUAUUUAGGGCAAACCCGUCUCUGUGGCAAAAGAGUGGGAAGAGCUUCGAGUAGAGGUGACAGACCUACCGAGCCUAGUUAUAGCUGGUUACCUGAGAACUGAAUAGAAGUUCAGCCUUUUAACUUCUUCAACCAAACAAGGUCUAUCCUCCCCCCGGCCAGAAGAUAAUUAAAAGAGUUAUUCAAGAGAGGUACAGCUCCCUUGAAAAAAGAUACAACUUUUAAAGAAGGGUAAGGAUCAAAAGUUCAAAGGAAACAUACCUAAGUGGGCCUAAAAGCAGCCACCCCAAAGAAAGCGUUAAAGCUCAAGUAUACAAACCCAAAAAUCCCGACAAAAACAUCCAACACCCCUUAACCUAUCAGGUCCACCCAUGCAGUCAUGGGUAAGACAAUGCUAAAAUGAGUAAUAAGAGGGCAAAGACUCUCUCAAGCGCAUUCGUGUACAUCAGAACGAACCCCCACUGAAAAUUAACGCCCCCACCUCCAGAGGGUAAUGAACAAAACUUCGCAAAACAAGAAAAUCUCUCAAAUCCAAAGCGUUAACCCCACACAGGAAUGCCCCACGAAAGACAAAAAGAAAAAGAAGGAACUCGGCAAACACCGGCCUCGCCUGUUUACCAAAAACAUCGCCUCUUGCCUCAUAGUAUAAGAGGUCCCGCCUGCCCUGUGACUAAAAGUUUAACGGCCGCGGUAUUUUGACCGUGCGAAGGUAGCGUAAUCACUUGUCUUUUAAAUAGAGACCUGUAUGAAUGGCAUAACGAGGGCUGAGCUGUCUCCUUUUUCCAGUCAAUGAAAUUGAUUUCCCCGUGCAGAAGCGGGGAUAACAACAUAAGACGAGAAGACCCUAUGGAGCUUAAGACACCAGGACAGACUACGUUAAAAUCCCUAACUCAACAGGAAAAAACCAAAUAGUUACUGUUCUCCUGUCUUUGGUUGGGGCGACCGCGGAGUAACAAAUAACCUCCAUGUGGAAUGGGUUAGCACCCUUAAAACCAGAGCCACAGCUCUAAUAAACAGAAAAUCUGACCAACAAGAUCCGGCAAAGCCGAUCAACGGACCCAGUUACCCUAGGGAUAACAGCGCAAUCCCCUUCUAGAGCCCAUAUCGACAAGGGGGUUUACGACCUCGAUGUUGGAUCAGGACUUCCUAAUGGUGCAGCCGCUAUUAAGGGUUCGUUUGUUCAACGAUUAAAGUCCUACGUGAUCUGAGUUCAGACCGGAGAAAUCCAGGUCAGUUUCUAUCUAUGAAAUAACCCUUUCCUAGUACGAAAGGACCGGAAAAGGGGGGCCUCUGCUCUAAGCACGCCCCACCCUGACCUAAUGAUGCCCACUAAACCGAGGCAAAAGGGAUUUUUUCCCUGCCUGAGAAUAAAGGCAA